rnacentral:pre_miRNA from 2 species
AACCCGUAGAUCCGAUCUUGUGAUAAGUUUGAUGGCACAAGCUCGAUUCUAUGGGUCUC